rnacentral:lncRNA from 10 species
AAAAUCAUUAUCAUGUAGCUCUGAGAUUUGUAUUCUUACAAUUGAAUAAGUGAAUCUUGCCCUGGUACUAUGUAAAGCCUCAAAACCAAGAAAUGACAUUACUAAAAUACAAAUAAAAAUUUAGAAAACAGGUCCUAAUUUUCCAACCUGUCACUCUUUAUCAAAUGGCGACCAUUUCCUAUUUUAAGCUGGCAGUAGCAAUGGCCAUCUCCAACCUACUGUCUACCCACGGCACACUUGCCAAAAAGACUAGGAGAAAAUUACGAUUUGGGUUUUAAAGGUUUUUCCUGGUAUCAGCUUCCCGCUAAUACCCAGAUUGAAAUACGAUUGAGUCAUAAAUAAAAAUGUCAAAAAGCCUAAAGCUCUGCAGUGGAGUAAAUCAACGCUGACAUUGUUAAGCAGCAGUCUUGCAAAUAUUAGAAUAUUCCAUUUUUACACUAAAAAUGAAGCUGUAUUUUUCAGUUCAUAAUCUUCCUCUCCUUUUAAUCUGAACCACCAUCCUUUCUUAGAGCAUGGUUUCUCAGAAGACUGUAGCACAUAGGCUUCAUGAGUACAACUUUUUUUGUGUAAUUAAUACUUGUUUAAGAUUAUGAACACAGGGGGAGAAGAUCUUUGCAGGGGAGACUUGAGCCAGGUCCCUGACAUAGCCCAGAGAGUUAUACUUACCAGACUUGCUAGCAUUUAUCUUUGAGCCAAUAAUUUAAAAUAUUUCCAUAAGCACAAGCACAGAUAAUACAGGUGCACCGGGCCUUUUCAUUUUUUUAUAUUGAUAAAUAAUUCACAAAGCAUACAAUUUAUCCAUUUGAAGUGUUACAAUUCCACAGUUCAUAGUGUAUCAGAGUUGGCCAACUAUCGUCACAGUCAAUUAUAGCACAUUUACAUUACCCUCCCUCCAAAAAUCCCCUACCUUAUUAGCAGUCACUCCCCUUCCUCCUCCCACCCCCAAUUUCCUGCUAUACACGUUAAUUCUUUCUCCUCAGUUUGUGAAAGGCUGGAUAAGACUCACGUGAAUCUAACUGAAGACAGCUCCAUGUCACAUCUUACUUGUUAUUAAUACUCUACCCCAAACAAAAGCCCUGAUGAAGGAAAAAAUAUGGAAAUAAAAAUAAUCCUGUGUUCAGCUCAAUGGGCAGUAAUGCUAUUUGCCCAUACUCCUCAUUAUUUGAAAGCUGAGAAAACAGACAAAAAAACCCCAAAGCAUACCCACCCCCCAUUUUUUAAGAACAAGGGUAAUUCCUAAGCAUAUCCUUUCAAUUUUCUCAUAUAAUGGGGGGAAAAAAGCAAACCCUUAGGUCCACCACGGGGAAAAAUAUUCAGCAAAAACAACAUUUUAGAUUUUCCGAAUGGAUUACAACAUACGUUUAAAUGAACCCCUGUGCUUUAUGAAUGAAUUACUAGGGACAAGUGAAUCUGAAUUUAAGCACUUCUUAAAAGGUUCCUGAUGCAACACUUUUACGAGAAGAGUGAGUAUAAAACUGGGCAGAAAAGCAGCAAAGGCAGUUCAUCUCCUGUCGGGCCUGAAGGAAACAAUCCAUUAUUGAACUUGACCAAUUCCAAUACCAAACCCUGCUUUAUUUCUCCACCGUCAGUUGACCAUUAAUUUACACCUUAAUAUUUAUGAAAAAAUUUGAUAUAAAGAUGAAACCAGCUGUUUUCCAUAUUAUCUAUAUGGAAAAAAUUUUGACUGCAGGGACAAUUUAAAUUAGAUUUAAUGAAGAAAUCCCUCAACAUAGCAUGUUGUUCCAUGCUAGAAAAAAUGGCCACAGUAGGCUAGAGAACUUCCAUGCUGGGAGAUUUUGAGGUACAAGCUAAUAAUUCAUCUAUCUUGAAUGAGUUAGAGAAAGACAUGGACUGACUUCUGAACUAUUGUUUCUACUUUAUUCAAAAAUUUUUAAAUAACUAAAACAAUACAAAUACAUAUAAAGUAAAAGCUUAUAAUAUUCUCUUACCCUCCCUGAGAUAGCUAAUGUUACAGAAAUAUAUCUUACAUACUACUUUAUUUUUUUCUUUUUAUCCUUUGAGAUUAAUAUAUGUAAAUGUUAGCCAUUCUUUUUAGAUACAAGAUAUGGAAAUAUGGGUUCUCUCUCUCCUUCUCUUUCUUUUUUUGGCAGGGUCUCACUCUUAUAGCCCAGGCAGGAGUAUAGUGGUAUGAUCACAACUCACUAUAGCCUCAACCUCAAGUGAUUCUCCCACCUCAGCCUCCAGGUACAAAGGCACCACCACACCUGGCUAAUUUUUGUAUUUCUUGUAGAGAGAAAGUAUCCCUAUGUUGCUCAAAUAAGCCUCAAACUCCUGGGCUCAAGCAAUCUGCCUGUCUCAGCCUCCCAAAGUGCUGGGAUUACAGGCAUGAGCCACAACGCCCAACCUGUACCAUUGUUUCUAUGUAACUAUUCUCUUGCAUAAUAUCAGACACAGGCUGCUUUUACAUUUUGCUAUAAUAAAUGAAGCAGCCCUUUAAGUAUAUCCUUGUAUAUGAAUGCUUUUUAUUUUCAUCAAAUAGGUUGCAAAAAAGGUGUAGCCACUCAAACUUCCAUCAGCAAUAUUUGAGAAUGCCCAUUUCCAAAAUCCUUGCCAAUAUUUGAUGGCAACAAUCUCUUACAUUCUGGCCAAUAUGAUGAGUACAAAAUGGCUAUCUCAUUGCCUUACUUUUCAUUCCCUGAUGACUAGUGAGGCUGGAUUUUUUUCCUCCCAUUUGUUGGACAUUUGCAUGUCCUUGUCUAUAUUUUGUGUAUGUUUUUUUCUCAUUUGUUCUUUUUCAUAUAAGUUGCAAAUAUUUGCUUGUUGGCUUUAUAGUAUCUUCUAACAUACAAAAACACUCCCUUUUUGAAAGGCCUCUGCUAACGUAUCUGUAAAGCAGUCCUAUCAGAACUACUCAAAUGAUUGGGUGUCUUGAAUCCUGCAGAUAGGUGAUCUUUAUGCUUGGGCCACGAAAAUGUGAAAAACCUUUAAGUGACUAAAAGAAAUUAAGAAGUUUGAAGUCAAUUCAAAUGUAUGGCAGAAAAAAAGGCCCUCAAUAGUUUUUUUUUUUGCAUGAAUGUUGACGGUAUAAAAAUUUCAGUAGUUCCAAAUUCAUUUACCACCCAAUUGCCAUUCGACCUCCAAGAAAAGCCUUCUCUGCCUACAGGAUAUAAGUAUCAGGGAUAUUUCUCCUCAGAGAAAGCAGAAAGUAACUUGAAGUUAUCACUGGAAAAAUCAUGCAUUGGAACUGGCAGAGUGAUUAACUGACUUCAGGCAAAAGUUUUACUGUGUCAAGAGUUUGGCAUGUCAUUUGUUGGAAACCUUUUUUAGUGAAAAACUAUCCACACCUACCAGAUGUGAAUUCUGAACAGAAUCCUGAAUGCUCAACUUUUCCCUUUGACCCUUAUUUAGAGCCUGGGAUUUCUAACAACAUCUCUCUUCAGAAAUAAAAACUGUUGCCAACUAUGAUAAACUUGUGCCUAAGGGAGAUUGUUAAGAUUCUCUGCAUCCAAGAACACACCACAAUGUGAUUUUAUGAAUAACACCAUACCAACCACUAGGCAAACUAACUUUCCAUUCUUUUACAUGAAUUUUUUUCCAGAAAGUUGUUUUAAACAGAGCAAAAAUUAGUAACAAAGUCGAAUAAAAGAAAAAGUUUCCACAUAAAAACAAUCUGUGAAGUCCCUAAGGACAGAAAUUAUAUCUCACAGAAUCUAAUAUGUGCCAAGUACUAUAUUAGGUAUUUCAUACACAUUAUCAUUUAAUCCUCCUACCUCUAGAGGCAGGCACACUAAUUUCCAUUGUAAAAUGAGGAAACAGGCUCAGAAAGGUUAAGUAAUAACUAGUUAAUGACAGAGCUGGGACCUACAUCCAGUUGUUAUUCCAAAGCUCCCGUUCCUUGAACAAUCAUUUGAAACUUCAUUGAAAAUAUAUACAAUUAUUUAUAUCCUUAAGUUACUGUCCCAAAAUGACCACAGUUGACCUUGUAAAAGCAUUUUUGAACAUCGGGCAUAACUUACAGAGCCCAAGGAAUCCUCAACCCAAGAGUGGGCUGUCAAUGUCCACCCUGCUAUGUAAAACUCAGCUCCCCUUUAGUCCCUAAAGGGUGUACUUUUGGGGUCCUGUCUUGUCCCACAGCACCACCUGGUGACACUAUGGAGAGACACCACACCCACCAAAUGUUAGACUAAGGGGCAGGUCUAGGAUAGCCAGGUUUCAUUAAGUGCUUAGUUAGCCCUUGCAGUGGCACAUAAAAGUGAGCUAAUUCUGGACGUGUUUAGUUGGUGAGGGGGAUGCAGCAGGGUAAUCUCCACAAUUAAUUGCAGUGGAAAGAACAAGGAGGCUGGAAUCACACAGAGACUCCAGUUUUUACCACAUAUCCAUGUGGGCUCAUUUCUAAGCCAGUUUUCCUGAUCUGUUAACAAGCCUCCAUAAAGCAGCUCUGUAAAAACGGGUGGAGGAGGAGAUCUAGCACACCUACUUAUGUGGGGGCCAAGGUAUCUUGUUAAGUGAAAGAUUCACUACUGAUGGGAUAAAGGGUCAGUAUGUAAGGACCACAUAAGUGGGGUCUGAAUCCCAGUUGGAGCGGACCUGAAACAAGGAAACCACAUCAGGAAAGUAGAAAUUUCCUUACAAUAAGAGGAGUAGCUCUGUAUCAAGAGUAGUUAGCAGAGGACACUGAGGGUUCUUCAUGAAAGGUACCACAUGAGGUAGGGUUAACUUUGAGACAAACAUGAGAAAGGCUUUAUUAUAAGGGAAACAGGUAACACAGAGGACUGUCUUAACAAAUUUAGAGAAAAGUGUUUUCUCUCCUGACUUCAGGGAAAGAUUUUCUUCUUAAAUUUUGCUAAAGACAGAUAGCUCUCUUAUGAAGAAAAUUCUUACAAGAUAGACCUGUGUUUUCUAGAACUUUUGUUGCUUAAAUAAUUACUUAAUUAUUAUAUCAUUAAAUCUGUCAUUAUUAAUUAGGUAAUCAUUAUUUUAAAAAUUAAGUUAGUAGUUAAACAAAAUAUAAUUACUUAAAAUAACCACAAAGCUUUUCCUCCUAUUAUAACAAGCUUUCCUCUAAUCAUUUUCUUUUCUUAAAAAUAAAAUCUGUCAUUUGAAUAUUACCUUUUAAAGACAAAGUAAAUACUUGCAAACAUUUACAGAAUAAAAAAGGAAAUAUAUUACCUCCUACAUCAAUAAAGUGUUUUGCAGCCAAGCCUGACCGUGGAGCUAAAAAACAAAAAAGGAGACAUUGGUUAUUUUAAGGGGGAAGGGCUAUAUCAGAGAUAACUGAUGCAAUUUAAGCAUGUCAUUCUCUUCACCUAUAAUAUCUAUAUCUUCAUCUUAACUUUAGCACAUGGUUUUGAAUUAAAGAAUAUAUAUUCAUCAUACUGCAUUACCAAAGUUGGAAAGACUAGUUUAGAAAAAUUCCACAAGGUUUUAAUUCAAAACUAACUUAAACCACUCCCAUGUGACUUCAGUCAGAAUUUGUGGUGCUGCAGACAGGGGAGAAGGACUGCUAGAAUGAGCUGAAAGGUGAGCAAGCGGGAACAACUGUAGGCUGCUCUUUCAAGAAGUUAAGCCUCAAAGGGGAAGAAAGAGAAGUAUGGCCAGCAGGAACACACUACUGAGGAAGAAGACUUUGGUUUUAAGAUGGGACACCACAACAUGUACAAUGCAGAUGGGAAGGGAAAGGAAGAGGAAGGGAGAGGGAAACAAACCUAACCAAAUAGUAGCAGACCAUAGCCUACAACUUGGGACCCCACUAUUCAUGAUUCAGAUGCCAAAAGACAUGCCUGUAGGAAACACAUGAACCAGAGUAAGAUAAAUGGGCUAAUAUCAGUUAAGUAAAAAUGCCAAAAACUAAGUCUCAAUGAUUCAAUGCUAGUAUACUUUUUAAUCCUAAAAAAUGAAAAAAAUAAAAAGCUAAGGUUACACCUUAUUAUUGCAGACUCAAGCAUCAGGCCUAUAAUUAAUUAUCCUAACUUCCAGCAUUUUAUUUUAGAAUAAUUUAAAUCAGGCACUUUGUCAAUAAUGCUGCCUCUUUCUGUACUAACCUUUAUUUCACUCCAUCUCCUGCCCCUUCCCCUGAAAAAAUUCUAAAAAAUGGAGUCAAUGAUGCUCAAGAGAUGAGAUGAGAGCCCAUCUUGUUAUCUUUUAAGGGCUGAAGUACUGGCAGUUUCCUCACUCAUGGCUAAUAAUAUAGUGCCAGUCUAGCUCCUUUCCCUGGAGGAGGGCGUCACAGCUCCAUUGCCUCCUUUAUGUUUACUCUGAAGUUAGUCAAAAAGAACUUACGCUCUUGCAAAGAACUGUCUGGUAACAACUGAUCCGCUCCAGAAAAAUCAAACCUGUUGACGUGUACUCCAUUUUGUCCUAGCUCCUCCCAGUGCCUCUACAACACUGAAGAGUAUCCCUUACCCUAACCCCAUGGCCAAACAAGAAAAGGUUAAGUAGGCUUACACAUUCUGGGACCAACAGGUCAGAAGUUUUACUCUCAUAAUAUAAAAUGCCAUGUUCUGAGAACAGCCUUCUAGGCCAGUGUGAGCCUAAAAGCUCCAGUGAGGAAGGAGAAAAAUAAAAGGGUCAAAAAGAGGCAAAGCAGAGAUGUAAAUAAAGCCUUUCAAAGAGUGCAUUUGCUAUCACAAAUGGUGCUUCUUUUAGGACACAGCCCAAGCAAUAUUGCCUGCUUAUUACCCCAAAUGAAACAUGAAGAAUCUAUCACAAAGGAGAACUUGACAAAUAGUUACCUGUUUCUUAAAUGACUUACCCACUCUUCCAUAACACCCAGAAGGGAGCGCUAUCUGAAUGUCCGUUUUCACAACAGCUUUCUCCAUAGGUGGUAUUGUGUAAUCAUAGGCACUAAGAAAAUAUUGAAAGAAAAUAACUGCAAAUCUAUUUAUAAAAUUGUUUUUAUAUUUUCUUUGUGACCAAGCAUACAAAAUUACUUUCAGUGUAUUUAAUGAAUUAAUGCAACUUUAGUUUCUAAAAUCAACCUUGCUAUGAUGAAUUACCAAUUCAUCUUAAAAGUUUAUGAAGAAGGUAGAGGUGGCUAUUUUAUUAUUAAAAAGACAGCUUUAGAUAAAAUAAUUCUCCAUGAAUAUUUUUGGUGGUGUGAAGAGAUGUCAACAUUGUAAAUGUUUGCCCCUGAACAAAAGUUUAUUGGAAACUGAGGUACUUAUCAGCGUGAAAGGGCAGAAAGGCAAACUUUCAAAAGGUGGAUGCUUUACAACCAUAGUUUGAAAAGGAAAAAAAUGAAGAAAGAACAAAGAAAAAAGGCCAAAUACUACUAAUAAUACUAGCUAUCAUUGAUUAAGCCUUUACUGUGUGCCAGGAACAGUUCUAAUUGGUUUACAUAUAUUAACCCAUUUUAUUCUCACAAUGAUCUGUGUGAUUAGGGAAAAUAUGCAGAAGGAAAGGAGAAAAACGGGUGGACAAAAUAAGAGAUAAAGAACUGUGUUGUAUCUGUCAGGCAGGGCUUGGUAGUUUACCAAGCUUAGGCUAUGAAUUUCCUGGCUGAGGGAGACAGCUGAUCACCGUGAACGGCCCCUGGAGAUGGACCUUGCUUAGGAACAGAAUUCCUCUAAAGUCCACAUAGCAAAUGCUGCUACUCUUGAUAUUACUGUGGCCCUCUCCUGGGUAGAAAUUUAAGAGAUUUUACAAUGAGCAGAACCGGAAGUUUACUUUGGAGACCUUAAUUAACUCUGGUAAAGCAGUACUACCCCUUCUUUCACUGAAAUCCCUCUUUAAACAGUUAAGCCCUAAUUUAUUGCUGAUCCAUUAUUUCCAUGUCAAUUUCAGUAUACAGAAAGUCACCUGUGUUUAUUAGGAGUCUACUUAAGGUAUCUUAAAUCAAGGACUCCCCUAGGACUCAAGAAAGUGCUCCAAAAUAUACUUUGGAAAGGUCUAGUCAAACUAUAUCACUCUACUUUUAUUCAUCAAAAUUAAGAGACUGUAGUUUUUCCAGCUACAAUUGUCCAUACCUACUUUCCUUUUCCUUUUUUUUCUGUUGCUAUCAUCAGGCACUACUUUCUCUUCUCCUGUGCUUAGACUAAUAGUUCUCAUGUUUGAAUUAUCUGAGAUACUUUAAAAUAAAUCCCAAUGCUUGGGAUUUAGUAUAAAAUCUCCUUCCCUCUCAGCAUUACUUUUCUCCUACCUUAAUGGUUCUAAGAACUGGGCACAGUAGUCAGAUGAAAAAAAAAAAGCCCAAAAUUCGGGAUAAAAAAUUAUAUCAUCUUCAAGCCUCUGGGGAAAUCAAUUCAGCUCUUCACAAACUCCUGCCUGUGUAAAAAGUAACACUUAUCUAGUUAAGGAUUGUUGUGAGGACUAAAUACAACAGCAUACGGAAAGUUUUUAGUACAGGUAAAACGUGCUGUAGAGAUGAAAGUGUGGUAGAUUACAGGCAGCUCUGCCUUUCGUUUUCAGAUGCCUUCUCAAAUUCCGCCCUGGGCCGGAUGAAUGUAUAGAAAAUAACUUUUUAAGGCAGAUGCAUCUUCGUUCAUCCUUCUUAGGUAUUUUCACGCUCACAUCUAGGCUCUCACCUUGGUUUUUCUAUUGAGCACAGCAUCACCCUCGGGCCACUCGAAAGCCACCAUGGGCCUUCC